AGAGACCAGGGUUUUCUGGAGCCUGGAGUUGAACGCCUUUCUUUGGCAGGAAGCGAUGAACAGCUAUUACAUGAAAGUUUUUCAAAGAUGAGCUUCCAUGAUGAGUCCACCAUUACUGUGAGCGAAGAUGCCAAUGAUCUUCAUAACACAGUAAUUGAAUUUGAACACCAAGAUGAUACAUCCUGGGAAAUAGACAGUGAGGAAAGCAAUUCUGAUGAGGACUAUGUUCCCU